GAGUUUGAUCCUGGCUCAGAUUGAACGCUGGCGGCAGGCCUAACACAUGCAAGUCGAGCGGAAACGAGUUAACUGAACCUUCGGGGAACGUUAACGGCGUCGAGCGGCGGACGGGUGAGUAAUGCCUGGGAAAUUGCCCUGAUGUGGGGGAUAACCAUUGGAAACGAUGGCUAAUACCGCAUAAUAGCUUCGGCUCAAAGAGGGGGACCUUCGGGCCUCUCGCGUCAGGAUAUGCCCAGGUGGGAUUAGCUAGUUGGUGAGGUAAUGGCUCACCAAGGCGACGAUCCCUAGCUGGUCUGAGAGGAUGAUCAGCCACACUGGAACUGAGACACGGUCCAGACUCCUACGGGAGGCAGCAGUGGGGAAUAUUGCACAAUGGGCGCAAGCCUGAUGCAGCCAUGCCGCGUGUAUGAAGAAGGCCUUCGGGUUGUAAAGUACUUUCAGCAGUGAGGAAGGUGGGUAUGUUAAUAGCAUACUCAUUUGACGUUAGCUGCAGAAGAAGCACCGGCUAACUCCGUGCCAGCAGCCGCGGUAAUACGGAGGGUGCGAGCGUUAAUCGGAAUUACUGGGCGUAAAGCGCAUGCAGGUGGUUUGUUAAGUCAGAUGUGAAAGCCCGGGGCUCAACCUCGGAAUUGCAUUUGAAACUGGCAAACUAGAGUACUGUAGAGGGGGGUAGAAUUUCAGGUGUAGCGGUGAAAUGCGUANAGAUCUGAAAGGAAUACCGGUGGCGAAGGCGGCCCCUCUGGACAGAUACUUGACACUCAGAUGCGAAAGCGUGGGGGGAGCAAACAGGAUUAGAUACCCCUGGUUANUCCACGNCCGUAAACGAUGUCUACNUUGGGAGGGUGGNGGCCNUUGAGCCNUGNCUUUUCGGANCUANNCGCGUUAAANUANNNNCNUCUGNAGGAGUNNNGNNCUCGC
rnacentral:rRNA from 1 species